rnacentral:rRNA from 1 species
UACGUAGGCAGCGAGCGUUGUUCGGAAUUACUGGGCGUAAAGAGUGUGUAGGCGGUGCUCUAAGUUCGGUGUGAAAUCGCCCGGCUCAACUGGGCGGGGUCAGCGGAUACGGCGGAGCUUGAGCAAGCUAGGGGGCAAUGGAAUUCCCGGUGUAGUGGUGGAAUGCGUAGAUAUCGGGAGGAACACCAGUGGCGAAGGCGGUUGCCUGGGGCUUUGCUGACGCUGAUGCGCGAAAGCGUGGGGAGCGAUCCGG